rnacentral:rRNA from 1 species
UACGAAGGGGGCUAGCGUUGUUCGGAAUUACUGGGCGUAAAGCGCGCGCAGGCGGCUAUCCAAGUCAGUGGUGAAAGCCCGGAGCUUAACUCCGGAACUGCCAUUGAAACUGUUUAGCUUGAGGACGAGAGAGGUGAGUGGAAUUCCCAGUGUAGAGGUGAAAUUCGUAGAUAUUGGGAAGAACACCGGUGGCGAAGGCGGCUCACUGGCCCGUAACUGACGCUCAUGCACGACAGCGUGGGGAUCAAACAGG